GACGAACGCUGGCGGCGUGCUUAACACAUGCAAGUCGAACGAAAAUACCAAGCUUGCUUGGUUGAUUAGUGGCGAACGGGUGAGUAACACGUGAGUAACCUGCCCCUUACUUUCCUGGAUAACUGCUCGAAAGGGUAGCUAAUACGGGAUAUUCUGACCAGCCUGCAUGGGUUGGUUUGGAAAGGUUGUUUUUCUGGUAAGGGAUGGGCUCGCGGCCUAUCAGCUUGUUGGUGGGGUGAUGGCCUACCAAGGCUUUGACGGGUAGCCGGCCUGAGAGGGUGGACGGUCACACUGGGACUGGGAUACGGCCCAGACGCCUACGGGAGGCAGCAGUGGGGAAUAUUGCACAAGGGGCGCAAGCCUGAUGCAGCGACGCCGCGUGAGGGAUGAAGGCCUUCGGGGUGUAAACCUCUUUCGUCAGGGAACAAGGCACUGCUUUUGUGGUGGUGUUGAGGGUACCUGGAUAAGAAGCGCCGGCUAACUACGUG
rnacentral:rRNA from 1 species